CAGCCGCCGCGGUAACACGGAGGGAGCUAGCGUUGUUCGGAAUCACUGGGCGUAAAGCGCACGUAGGCGGCUAUUCAAGUCAGGGGUGAAAGCCCGGGGCUCAACCCCGGAACUGCCUUUGAAACUAGAUAGCUUGGAUCUUGGAGAGGCGAGUGGAAUUCCGAGUGUAGAGGUGAAAUUCGUAGAUAUUCGGAAGAACACCAGUGGCGAAGGCGACUCGCUGGACAAGUAUUGACGCUGAGGUGCGAAAGCGUGGGGAGCAAACAGGAUUAGAUACCCCAGUAGUCCCUGUCUCUUAUAA
rnacentral:rRNA from 1 species